rnacentral:lncRNA from 1 species
GGCCAAUUUGCAUAAAAAAUCCACUAAUUUUGGGCUUUUGCAAAAGUGAACAACUUUUUUGGAUUUUGCAGAUUCGGACAUAAAUUUCAGCAAACUUACCAAAAUACCCUUAUUACUUUUUCUCUCUCCUCUUUCUUUUUCUCUCGUUCUUUUUUUCCUCUAUCCGAAGAAGGCAGCGGAGGCGAAGGCGGAGGCGGAAACAGUCCGCCUCGCCUCCGCCCCGCACGCCCUCGCCCUUGCACUCCAGCCCUUAUCGCCUCCGACCCUGCUGAGGCUGCGUCGCCACCCUUUUUCU